GAUGAACGCUGGCGGCGUGCCUAAUACAUGCAAGUCGAGCGAAUGGAUUAAGAGCUUGCUCUUAUGAAGUUAGCGGCGGACGGGUGAGUAACACGUGGGUAACCUGCCCAUAAGACUGGGAUAACUCCGGGAAACCGGGGCUAAUACCGGAUAACAUUUUGAACCGCAUGGUUCGAAAUUGAAAGGCGGCUUCGGCUGUCACUUAUGGAUGGACCCGCGUCGCAUUAGCUAGUUGGUGAGGGAACGGCUCACCAAGGCAACGAUGCGUAGCCGACCUGAGAGGGGGAUCGGCCACACUGGGACUGGGCACCGGCCCAGACUCCUACGGGAGGCAGCAGUAGGGAAUCUUCCGCAAUGGACGAAAGUCUGACGGAGCAACGCCGCGUGAGUGAUGAAGGCUUUCGGGUCGUAAAACUCUGUUGUUAGGGAAGAACAAGUGCUAGUUGAAUAAGCUGGCACCUUGACGGUACCUAACCAGAAAGCCACGGCUAACUACGUGCCAGCCGCCGCAGUAA
rnacentral:rRNA from 1 species